rnacentral:rRNA from 1 species
GACGGAGGAUGCAAGCGUUAUCCGGAAUGAUUGGGCGUAAAGCGUCCGCAGGUGGCAGUUCAAGUCUGCUGUCAAAGACCGGGGCUUAACUUCGGAAAGGCAGUGGAAACUGAACAGCUAGAGUAUGGUAGGGGCAGAGGGAAUUCCUGGUGUAGCGGUGAGAUGCGUAGAUAUCAGGAAGAACAUCGGUGGCGAAGGCGCUCUGCUGGACCAUAACUGACACUCAGGGACGAAAGCUAGGGGAGCGAAUGGG